rnacentral:rRNA from 1 species
CGAAGGGUGCUAGCGUUGUUCGGAAUCACUGGGCGUAAAGCGUGCGUAGGCUGUUUAACAAGUCAGGGGUGAAAUCCUUGGGCUCAACCCAAGAACUGCCUUUGAAACUGUUAGACUGGAGUGUCGGAGGGGAUAGCGGAAUUCCUAAUGUAGUGGUGAAAUACGUAGAUAUUAGGAGGAACACCGGUGGCGAAGGCGGCUAUCUGGACGACAACUGACGCUGAGGCACGAAAGCGUGGGGAUCAAACAGGAUUAGAUACCCUGGUAGUCCACGCUGUAAACGAUGGAUGCUAGCUGUCGGGGGGUUCCCCUCCGGUAGCGUAGCUAACGCGUUAAGCAUCCCGCCUGGGGAGUACGGUCGCAAGAUUA